GGGGCUGUAGCUCAGCGGUAGAGCACUUGCCUGGCAUGUGUGAGGCACUGGGUUCCAUCCUCAGCACCA
rnacentral:tRNA from 1 species